AUAGCAAGCUGUCUUAUCGCUGCGCCGCAAGGCGGAGAGGAAAGUCCGGGCAACACAGAGCAUCCUACUUCCUAACGGGAAGGGUCUUUUCGGGGAACGGAAAAGAUACAGCCAGUGCCACAGAAAAUUACCGCCUUAUUUAAUUAUGAAUUAGAAAUUCAAAAUUAGAAAUUACCCAAUUUAUAAUUCAUAAUUUUUUUAUUUCUAAUUAAAUAAGGUAAGGGUGAAAAGGUGCGGUAAGAGCGCACCAGUACGUCCGGCGACGGCGUAGCUGGGUAAACCUUAGGAGUUGAAAGACCAAAUAGGUUCCGAACGUGGAGUUGCUCGCUCCCUGGCAGCUUCGGCUGCUUGUCGGGAUGGGUAGGUUGAUGGAGCCUUGGCGCGAGCCCUGGCCUAGAUAAAUGAUAAGAGCUGCAGCAUGGCUGCAACACAGAACCCGGCUUACAGGCUUGCUAUAUUU
rnacentral:RNase_P_RNA from 1 species